rnacentral:rRNA from 1 species
UCUUCCGAUCUCGGAUGCCUUGGCAUGGAGAGGCGAUGAAAGACGUGGGGUAGCUGCGAUAAGCUCCGGUGAGGUGCUAACCAACCUUUGACCCGGAGAUUUCUGAAUGGGGCAACCCGGCCGCGGUCAUGCGCGGUCACUUCGUGGUGAAUGUAUAGUCACGAAGGGCAAACCCGGAGAACUGAAACAUCUCAGUACCCGGAGGAAAGGAAAGAAACCUCGACUCCCCAAGUAGCGGCGAGCGAACGGGGAGCAGCCCAAACCGGCGAUUCCCAACGGCUGCAGAGCCUAUGUGUCGUCGGGGUUGUGGGACCCUCGGGCCGAAGUCUGCGAUUCGGCAGGAAGUUAUAAAGUCGUCGUCGAGCUCAAUCGUCUGGAAAGGCGGACCAGAGAGGGUGACAGUCCCGUGAGCGAAGAUGUGCGGCCUUCCCGAGAGGAUCCCGAGUAGGACCAGACACGUGAAACCUGGUCUGAAUCCGGGGGGACCACCCCCCAAGGCUAAGUACUACUCCAUGACCGAUAGCGAACCAGUAGCGUGAGUGAAAGGUGAAAAGGACCCCUGCUAGGGGAGUGAAAGAGAACCUGAAACCAUGCACCUACAAGCGGGGAGAGGGCUAUGCUUGCAUGCCUGAUCCCGUGCCUUUUGUAUAAUGAUCCGGCGAGUUACUGUCGUUUGCUUGGUUAAGUCCUUCCGGGACGGAGCCCGAGCGAAAGCGAGUGCGAAUAGCGCGUUGUCUUCGGACAGGUAAGCGGCAGUAGACGCGAAAGCGUGUGAUCUAUCCAUGGGCAGGUUGAAACGGGGGUAAAACCCUGUGGAGGACCGAACCCACUUAUGUUGAAAAAUGAGGGGAUGACCUGUGGAUAGGAGUGAAAGUCUAAUCAAACUCGCAGAUAUCUCGUUCUCCCCGAAACAGCUUUAGGGCUGGCCUCGGGUGAUUGCAUGAACGGGGGUAGAGAGACUGAUUGGGUCUGGGGGGCCACCAGCCUACCCUUCCCGACCAAACUCCGAAUACCGUUCAUGUCGACCCCGGGAGUUAGACUAUGGGGGAUAAGCUCCAUGGUCGAGAGGGAAACAGCCCGGACCGUCGGCUAAGGUCCCCAAGAACAGACUAAGUGCUUAAGGAAGUGGGAGUGCCCAGACAGCCAGGAUGUUGGCUUAGAAGCAGCCACCAUUUAAAAAGUGCGUAACAGCUUACUGGUCGAGCACUUCCGCGCCGAAAAUGAACGGGACUCAAGUCUGUCACCGAAGCCGCGGAUGUCCGAUCCAUGGGUGAUCGGGCGUGGUAGGGGAGCGUUGCACGCAAGGCCGAAGCCGUACCGUAAGGAGCGGUGGACGACGUGCAAGUGAGAAUGCCGGAACGAGUAGCGAUAAAACAGGUGAGAAUCCUGUUCGCCGUAAGCCUAAGGUUUCCUGGGGCAGGCAAUUCCGCCCAGGGUUAGUCGGAUCCUAAGGCGAGGCCGAAAGGCGUAGUCGAUGGGCAGCAGGCGAAUAUUCCUGCACCACUCUAUUCCAGUGAAGGAGGGACGGGGAUUCAAAGGUCUACCCACGGUCGGAUGUGUGGGGUCAAGCCCGAGCGAGGGACUCAGGAAAAUCCGGGUCCGGAAUCGCAGAGGUGACGACGAGUCCAAUUGCGGACGAAGUGAUCGGCGGGUCCUCCGGGAAAAGCUUCUAAGCGUUUUGACGAAUAGGGUGUCCGUACUAAAACUGACACAGGUAGGCGGGGUGAGUAUCCCAAGGCGCUCGAGAGAAAUCAGGUCAAGGAACUCGGCAAAUUGAGUCCGUAACUUCGGGAUAAGGACUGCCCGGGACGGUGAAGAGGUUUACCCUCGGAGCCGACGCUCGGGUCGCAGAGAAAUGGCUCUGGCGACUGUUUAUUAAAAACACAGGUCUGUGCCAAGGCCGAAAGCCGACGUAUACAGACUGACACCUGCCCAAUGCCGGUAGGUUAAGAGGACGGGUCAGCCUUCGGGCGAAGCUCAUAAUCGAAGCCCCGGUGAAUGGCGGCCGUAACUAUGACGGUCCUAAGGUAGCGAAAUUCCUUGUCGGGUAAGUUCCGACCCGCAUGAAUGGUGUAACGACUGGAGCACUGUCUCGACCUGGUACUCGGCGAAACUGAAGUCGAGGUGAAGAUGCCUCGUACCCGCAGCUAGACGGAAAGACCCUAUGAACCUUUACUGCAGCGUAAUAUUGGCUUUAGGUAUGGCAUGUGUAGCAUAGGUGGGAGACUGUGAUGGUCGGGCGCCAGCCCGGUCGGAGUCGCCGUUGAAAUACCACUCUUGUCAUGCUUGAAUUCUAACCGGGCGCCAUGAAUCUGGGCUCGGAACAGUGUUACGUGGGCAGUUUGACUGGGGCGGUCUCCUCCCAAAGAGUAACGGAGGAGCGCAAAGGUGCACUCAGCACGGUUGGCAAUCGUGCGUAGAGCGUAAAGGUAGAAGUGUGCUUGACUGUGAGAGAAACACCUCGAGCAGAUGCGAAAGCAGGCCUUAGUGAUCCGACAGUAGCGUGUGGAAGCGCUGUCGCUCAACGGAUAAAAGGUACUCUAAGGAUAACAGGCUGAUCUCCCCCAAGAGUCCAUAUCGACGGGGAGGUUUGGCACCUCGAUGUCGGCUCAUCACAUCCUGGGGCUGAAGAAGGUCCCAAGGGUUCGGCUGUUCGCCGAUUAAAGUGGUACGCGAGCUGGGUUUAGACCGGCGUGAGCCAGGUUGGUCCCUAUCUACUGUGGGCGCAGGAGACUUGAGAAGAUUUGCCCUUAGUACGAGAGGAUUGGGGCGGACGGACCUCUGGUGUUCCAGUUGUCGCGCCAGCGGCACUGCUGGGUAGCUAUGUCCGGAACGGAUAAGCGCUGAAAGCAUCUAAGCGCGAAGCCUACUUCAAGAUUAGGUCUCCCGGGGCUUCGGCCCCUGAAGGACCCUCGAAGACGACGAGGUUGA